rnacentral:rRNA from 1 species
UACGAAGGGGGGCUAGCGUUGCUCGGAAUCACUGGGCGUAAAGCGCACGUAGGCGGAUCUUUUAAGUCAGGGGGUGAAAUCCCCAAGGCUCAACCUUGGAACUGCCUUUGAUACUGGGGAUCUCGAGUCCGGAAGAGGUGAGUGGAACUGCGAGUGUAGAGGUGAAAUUCGUAGAUAUUCGCAAGAACACCAGUGGCGAAGGCGGCUCACUGGUCCGGUACUGACGCUGAGGUGCGAAAGCGUGGGGAGCAAACAGG